CCUCGUUGGAUGGGCAGACGACAGAGG
rnacentral:sRNA from 1 species